AUUGAACGCUGGCGGCAGGCCUAACACAUGCAAGUCGAGCGAGCGGCGGACGGGUGAGUAAUGUAUGGGGAUCUGCCCGAUAGAGGGGGAUAACUACUGGAAACGGUGGCUAAUACCGCAUACUAUCGGAUGAGCCCAAGUGGGAUUAGGUAGUUGGUGAGGUAAAGGCUCACCAAGCCGACGAUCUCUAGCUGGUCUGAGAGGAUGACCAGCCAAACUGGGACUGAGACACGGCCCAGACGCCUACGGGAGGCAGCAGGGGGGAAUAGUGCGCAAUGGGGGCAACCUGACGCAGCCAUGCCGCGUGAAUGAAGAAGGCCUUCGGGUUGUAAAGUUCGGUCGGUAGCGAGGCGUUAACUACAGAAGAAGCACCGGCUAACUCCGUGCCAGCAGCCGCGGUAAUUC
rnacentral:rRNA from 1 species